UAGGGNNUCUUCGGCAAUGGACGGAAGUCUGACCGAGCAACGCCGCGUGAGUGAAGAAGGUUUUCGGAUCGUAAAGCUCUGUUGUAAGAGAAGAACGAGUGUGAGAGUGGAAAGUUCACACUGUGACGGUAUCUUACCAGAAAGGGACGGCUAACUACGUGCCAGCAGCCGCGGUAAUACGUAGGUCCCGAGCGUUGUCCGGAUUUAUUGGGCGUAAAGCGAGCGCAGGCGGUUAGAUAAGUCUGAAGUUAAAGGCUGUGGCUUAACCAUAGUACGCUUUGGAAACUGUUUAACUUGAGUGCAAGAGGGGGGAGUGGAAUUCCAUGUGUAGCGGUGAAAUGCGUAGAUAUAUGGAGGAACACCGGUGGCGAAAGCGGCUCUCUGGCUUGUAACUGACGCUGAGGCUCGAAAGCGUGGGGAGCAAACAGGAUUAGAUACCCUGGUAGUCCACGCCGUNNCGAUGAGUGCUAGGUGUUAGACCCUUUCCGGGGUUUAGUGCCGCAGCUAACGCAUUAAGCACUCCGCCUGGGGAGUACGACCGCAAGGNU
rnacentral:rRNA from 1 species